AACAAGCUUGCUUGUUGGGGUUGUAGGACACUCUAUACGGAGUUACAAAGGACGACAUUAGACGAAUCAUCUGGAAAGAUGAAUCAAAGAAGGUAAUAAUCCUGUAGUCGAAAAUGUUGUCUCUCUUGAGUGGAUCCUGAGUACGACGGAGCACGUGAAAUUCCGUCGGAAUCUGGGAGGACCAUCUCCUAAGGCUAAAUACUCUCUAGUGACCGAUAGUGAACCAGUACCGUGAGGGAAAGGUGAAAAGCACCCCGGAAGGGGAGUGAAAUAGAACCUGAAACCGUGUGCUUACAAGUAGUCAGAGCCCGUUAAUGGGUGAUGGCGUGCCUUUUGUAGAAUGAACCGGCGAGUUACGAUUUGAUGCAAGGUUAAGCAGUAAAUGUGGAGCCGUAGCGAAAGCGAGUCUGAAUAGGGCGUUUAGUAUUUGGUCGUAGACCCGAAACCAGGUGAUCUACCCUUGGUCAGGUUGAAGUUCAGGUAACACUGAAUGGAGGACCGAACCGACUUACGUUGAAAAGUGAGCGGAUGAACUGAGGGUAGCGGAGAAAUUCCAAUCGAACCUGGAGAUAGCUGGUUCUCUCCGAAAUAGCUUUAGGGCUAGCCUCAAGUGAUGAUUAUUGGAGGUAGAGCACUGUUUGGACGAGGGGCCCC
rnacentral:rRNA from 1 species